CAGCCGCCACGGUAAUACGUAGGCAGCAAGCGUUGUUCGGAAUUACUGGGCGUAAAGAGUGUGUAGGCGGUGCUCUAAGUUCGGUGUGAAAUCUCCCGGCUUAACUGGGAGGGUGCGCCGGAAACUGGAAUGCUCGAGCGUGGGAGAGGAGAGCGGAAUUCCUGGCGUAGCGGUGAAAUGCGUAGAUAUCAGGAGGAACACCUGCGGUGUAGACGGCUUUCUGGACCAUUGCUGACGCUGAGACACGAAAGCGUGGGUAGCAAACAGGAUUAGAUACCCCAGUAGUCCCUGUCUCUUAUAC
rnacentral:rRNA from 1 species